rnacentral:lncRNA from 10 species
GUCUCAUUAGGGGUGCUUUGUAAGACCUACCCAGCAGGAUUGUAUGGUUAUUAUUAUCAGGUGUGUGUUCUGUGUUCUUUUUUCCCUUUCUUAAAUGUUACUUGUCUACUAUAGUUAUCUUAUCCCUGCUCUACCACUGACAGCAUACAUAAGACUGAUUGUUUUUAUAUCAGGCUUUGCAGGACCACAACAACCACUCCCAGUCAUGAUGGAGAGAAGUGUUCAAUACCCACAGAUCCUGAACGUUGAGCUGAUUAUACUAACUAGAUGGGACUUAGUUUUGUCUACCGUGGGGUGAGCGUAUACUACCUGAGGGAACAGAAAUCUGUCCUACUCCUUUCCUUUGGCUUAGAUUUUCUCUAUGUUGAUUUCUUUUCUGCACAGGUUCUCUAUGGUGAAGAUGGCAACUUGCUGACUCAGUCUCAGAAUGCGUUAAAUCCACAUAUUCUGGCAAGUGGAGUUCUGCUUCUCCAAUAUCUCUUCCAGACUAAGUCUCGAAAGGACAGUAAUUGAUCCACCCUGAGUCAUAUGCCCAUGUCCAAAGCAAUGAGUUUGGGAAAUUUCAUGACACACUCCUAAUUUUGUGGUAGGAGACACAUCAGAACCACACAAUGAGUCAGUCCUAUUUAUGAAAUAGAGGUUCAUCUAUCAGAUGAAAGGGAAAAAAGUUGUAAAAACAAAACAGAUGUUCACUAAUGGGGAUCUAUCUGAAUUUCACCUGUAACUACAAAUGCUCACAAGUAGAUUUACAGUUUUCCUAGAGUGUCAUGAAUUUAAAAACAUAUGCAUGGAAUCAUAAAGUAAUAUCCUAAUCACCUCUCACAACCUUUCUCUCCUUAACAUAAAAUGAGAAUAUUUUAGCAGCAGGAGAAGGAUUUUCAUUUAUAGACCUUUAUCAGACACUAAUGUAGGAUUGAGUUUGACCUGAUACAGUGUUCUAUCUCUGAGUGUUGUCACUCAGUUUUAUCAUAAAUAAAAUUUAUUUUAUAUGAUAUCAUAUAGAGAACAAAUUUACUUAUUUUUCUCAUGUAAUCAUGUAAUCAAUUGUUCCAACAUAAUCCAUUGAAUAGAUAUUGUGGCAUUUCCCUAAUUAUUUAUAAAGGCACUGUUACUAGAUAUGAAUAUUUAUAUAUGAGGAUAUGAAUCGUGGCUCUCUGAUUUGUUCAUUAUUUGCUUGUCUAUUCCUGUGCCAGUAUCAUACAAUUGGUACUAAUAUAGUGUUCUGAUAUUGACAGGAUGAAGUGCUCCUUCUAAUGAUGUAGCUUUAAAUUUGUCUUGGUUGUGCAUUUCUUUUUAUUCUUCCAUAGAGAUUUGUGGUUCAGUUGUCAGCUUUGAAAAUCACUUUUGGGAUUUGAAUUUGAAUUGCAUGAAAUUUGUAGACUAACUUGUAGAAAAUAGACAUUUUUAUGAUAUGAAUUUACACAUCCUUGUAACCAUGGGUGUGUUAUUUAUUUUCACUUUUGAAUAUUAUUGUGGGUAUUUAGUAAUAAAAAUAACAAUCGACGAGUUACAUGGUGGUUACUAUGUGACAGAUGUUGUCAAAGUUCCAUCCAUAUAUCAACUUAUUAUAUAUUCUUAUGGGAAGAGACCGUUAUUAUCUCCAUUACACAAGUAAGAAAAUCGAGGUACAAAGAGCUUAAGUAACAUGUGCUAAGUCAUAUAAGAGUAAAGCUUUAUUUGAAUCCAUGCAGUUUGUCUCCAGAGCUAAGUCCUCAGCAGAGUGAAACUUCAUAUAUAAUAUUUUCUACAGACAAAGUUACCAUCAAUAUCAACAGCAACAACACGGCAACAGCCAACAUUUACAGAACUUUUAUUAAGUUCCAGUCACCGUAUGUGCCUGCUUCCCCUUUGCCUUCCACCAUCAUUAUAAGUUUCCUGAGGCCACCACUGCCAUGCUUCCUGUACAGACUGUGGGACUCCAUGUAAGAUGUUCCUGCUUCCCCUUUGCCUUCUACCAUGAUUGUAACUUUCCUGAGGCCUUCCCAGCCAUGCUUCUUGUACAACCUGCAGAACUGUGAGUCAAUUAAACCUGUUUUCUUUAUAAAUU